rfam:Mustela putorius furo unplaced genomic scaffold scaffold00043, whole genome shotgun sequence.
GACAAGGUGGCCGAGCGGUUAAGGCGAUGGACUGCUAAUCCAUUGUUCUAACCCAUAACUGCACGCAUGGGUUAGAAUCCCAUCCUCGUCG